rnacentral:tRNA from 1 species
GGGAGUGUAGCUCAGUUGGUAGAGCAACGGACUUUUAAUCCGUAGGUCUAGGGUUCAAGUCCCUACGCUCCUA